GACGUAGGGUGCAAGCGUUGUCCGGAUUUACUGGGCGUAAAGAGCGCGUAGGCGGUCUGUUAAGUGUAGAGUGAAAUCUCUGGGCUCACCCCGGAAACUGCUCUGCAUACUGGCAGACUUGAGGGAAGCAGAGGUUUGUGGAAUUCCUGGUGUAGCGGUGAAAUGCGUUGAUAUCAGGAGGAACACCCAUGGCGAAGGCAGCAAACUGGGCUUCA
rnacentral:rRNA from 1 species